rfam:Altererythrobacter namhicola strain JCM 16345, complete genome.
ACACUUCACAUUAAGCGGGCGGGGCCUAUAUAGGUCCUGCCCGUUUUUUGCGGGCUAUGGCGAUAAAGUGUGGUGUGCAAUAGGCACAGCGGACCCGGGGGCAGUACCCGGCGGCUCCACCACCAAGGGCGAUUUUCGCGCCGUUGAUGAUGGGGUCGAACUAGGAUCGACGUGUGUUGAAAAGCACCAUUUUCGCCCGGGAUGAGAUCCCCCGUAAAACGCUCACAACACACAAGUGCCAACGAUAACGAAGCACUCGCUCUCGCUGCGUAAUUUGAUGGGCUAACGCCCUGACUUUACAAAGCCAAAGCGCGGUUGGACCCACCGGGCAACAGAAGCGGAUUCCG